GACGAACGCUGGCGGCGUGCCUAAUACAUGCAAGUAGAACGCUGAAGGAGGAGCUUGCUCUUCUGGAUGAGUUGCGAACGGGUGAGUAACGCGUAGGUAACCUGCCUGGUAGCGGGGGAUAACUAUUGGAAACGAUAGCUAAUACCGCAUAACAGUAGAUGUUGCAUGACAUUUGCUUAAAAGGUGCAAUUGCAUCACUACCAGAUGGACCUGCGUUGUAUUAGCUAGUUGGUGGGGUAACGGCUCACCAAGGCGACGAUACAUAGCCGACCUGAGAGGGUGAUCGGCCACACUGGGACUGAGACACGGCCCAGACUCCUACGGGAGGCAGCAGUAGGGAAUCUUCGGCAAUGGACGGAAGUCUGACCGAGCAACGCCGCGUGAGUGAAGAAGGUUUUCGGAUCGUAAAGCUCGGUUGUAAGAGAAGAAAGAGUGUGAGAGUGGAAAGUUCACACUGUGACGGUAUCUGACCAGAAAGGGACGGCUAACUACGUG
rnacentral:rRNA from 1 species